rnacentral:rRNA from 1 species
UACGGAGGGUGCAAGCGUUGUCCGGAUUUAUUGGGUUUAAAGGGUGCGUAGGCGGCUCUUUAAGUCAGUGGUGAAAUCCUACAGCUUAACUGUAGAACAGCCAUUGAUACUGAAGAGCUUGAGUACAGACGAGGUAGGCGGAAUUUAUGGUGUAGCGGUGAAAUGCAUAGAUACCAUAAAGAACUCCUAUUGCGAAGGCAGCUUACUAGGCUGUAACUGACGCUGAGACGCGAAAGCGUGGGGAGCAAACAGG